UUCGGACUGCAGGCUGCAACUCGCCUGCACGAAGCCGGAGUUGCUAGUAAUCGCGGAUCAGAAUGCCGCGGUGAAUGCGUUCCCGGGUCUUGUACACACCGCCCGUCACACCAUGGAAGUUGGGGGUGCCCAAAGCCGGCAGGGAAAUAUGCUGUCUAAGGCAAAACCAAUGACUGGGGUGAAGUCGUAACAAGGUAGC
rnacentral:rRNA from 1 species